UACAGAGGUCCCAAGCGUUGUUCGGAUUCACUGGGCGUAAAGGGUGCGCAGGUGGCCUGUGGAAGUCUGCGGUGAAAGCCCGGCGCUCAACGCCGGGUCGGCCGUGGAUACUCUCGGGCUCGAGCUUACUAGAGGCAGAUGGAAUUCCGGGUGUAGCGGUGGAAUGCGUAGAGAUCCGGAAGAACACCGGUGGCGAAGGCGGUCUGCUGGGGUAAUGCUGACACUGAUGCGCGACAGCGUGGGGAGCAAACAGG
rnacentral:rRNA from 1 species